AAGAAUGGACCUCCAGAACGAAUUAAGUACUUAACCCGAGGUACCACUGUAUAAAUGAGCCUCUUACAUGUGAACCUUAAGUAUGUAUAGUGGUACCUCGGGUUAAGUACUUAAUUCGUUCCAGAG